UACAGAGGGUGCAAGCGUCAAUCGGAAUUACUGGGCGUAAAGGGUGCGUAGGUGGAUAUUUAAGUUAUAUGUGAAAGCCCUGGGCUUAACCUGGGAACGGCAUAUGAGACUGGAUGACUAGAGUCGUGUAGAGGGAAGUGGAAUUUCCGGUGUAGCGGUGAAAUGCGUAGAUAUCGGAAGGAACACCGGUGGCGAAGGCGGCUUCCUGGACACAGACUGACACUGAAGCACGAAAGCGUGGGUAGCAAACAAG
rnacentral:rRNA from 1 species